AGGGAUUGCCUUAGUAACUGCGAGUGAAGCGGCAAGAGCUCAAAUUUGAAAUCUGGCACCUUCGGUGUCCGAGUUGUAAUUUGUAGAAGCAUCUUUUGGAUUGGUCCUUGCAUAUGUUCCUUGGAACAGGACAUCAUAGAGGGUGAGAAUCCCGUUCAUGGUGGGGAAUCCAAUUCUUUGUAAAGUGCUUUCGAAGAGUCGAGUUGUUUGGGAAUGCAGCUCUAAGUGGGUGGUAAAUUCCAUCUAAAGCUAAAUAUUGGCGAGAGACCGAUAGCGAACAAGUACAGUGAUGGAAAGAUGAAAAGAACUCCGAAAGGAGAGUGAAAAAGGACGUGAAAUUGUUGAAAGGGAAGUGCUUGAGAUCAGUCUUAAGGUUUAGUGAUCAGUCUUCCUUUUGGUUGGUGCACUCACUAUUUCUUAGGCCAACAUCAGUUUUCGCGGCAGGAUAAUGACAUUGGAAUGUGGCUCUUUCGGGAGUGUUAUAGCCUUUGUUGAUACUGCCUGCUUAGACUGAGGACCGCGCUUUUGCUAGGAUGUUGGCAUAAUGAUCUUAAG
rnacentral:rRNA from 1 species